UACGGAGGGGGCUAGCGUUGUUCGGAAUUACUGGGCGUAAAGCGCACGUAGGCGGCUUUGCAAGUUAGAGGUGAAAGCCCGGGGCUCAACCCCGGAAUUGCCUUUAAAACUGCAUCGCUAGAAUUGUGGAGAGGUAAGUGGAAUUCCGAGUGUAGAGGUGAAAUUCGUAGAUAUUCGGAAGAACACCAGUGGCGAAGGCGACUUACUGGACACAUAUUGACGCUGAGGUGCGAAAGCGUGGGGAGCGAACAGG
rnacentral:rRNA from 1 species